CUCGGCAACGGAUAUCUCGGCUCUCGCAUCGAUGAAGAACGUAGCGAAAUGCGAUACUUGGUGUGAAUUGCAGAAUCCCGUGAACCAUCGAGUCUUUGAACGCAAGUUGCGCCCCACGCAUUCGGCUGAGGGCACGUCUGCCUGGGUGUCACGG
rnacentral:rRNA from 1 species